ensembl:lncRNA DLEU1 deleted in lymphocytic leukemia 1
GAGUGGGGUUUAAUCUGGACUGAAUUGGAGGAAAGGAACUGGCACCAGAGUGGAGGCUGGAAGGAUGGUGGAACUGACACUGGGACAGAACACAGAAAACAGAAUCUAAUGCUAUUGCUCUGGCUAUAUCAAAUAAAAGUGUCAAGAGUGAGCAUCCUUGCCUUGUGCUGAAUCACAAAGGAAUACCUUUCAGUUUUUCUCCAUUGAUUAUGAUAGCAGUGGGCUUUUCACAGUGGGCUUUACUGUGUUGAGGUACCCUAAUGACAAGUUCACCCCAGUGUUUUCUGAGGAGUCUACCUGGAAAUGAGAACCAUCUGUCCUUCCUAUAGUAGUUCUUCUCAGAAUGCCGACUCUAUGCUAAUGAACUUAUGAUCUGGUGGAAGGACAUGAUAACUAAUCAAAUAAUCACAAAUAUGUAUUUCAGAGAAAUGAGGGGCAAAUGCACUAGCUGCCCUAUGUAAGCUCUAAGUCUCAUCAUUUCGGGGAUCCUCUCCUGUGAUGCAGCUUUGCUAGAAAGAACUAAUAUUUGUAUUUUUUUGCACCAUCUGUUCUGCUGUAUCGUGGUAGAAGUCAUGUAGGUUCAUAUGAGAUCUUUCUUCCAAGCACCUUAAUGUUUUGAAGAGAUAAAAGCAAGAAGCAAGCUUUCUUACAAUUCAUGAAAAAGCCCAAUCAAUAUGCCUCAAGAAACAAAGCUGAUGUAUAAUAAAAAUUAUUAUCCCA